AAAAAAAAAAAGGAAGAUGAUUAGAUUAGAUUUUUUUUUAGAGGAAUCUGAGAAAGUGGGCACGCGUGCUGCUUUUAGGUUGUCGUUUUCUGGUAAUUGAGAAGGAUUUAGACAUUGUGAAAGAAGCGGCUUUGCCUGUCUGCUUUUCACAUAGUUUUUUAUUUUUAUUUUUAUGCUUACGUUACUCACAUUUUGCUUUUUUUUUUUUUUUUUUUUUUUGUGGAAAGUUUCACAUUUUCUUCCCUUGUAUAUUUCUCACCCCAAAUAAUAAAAUUAGAAGAAAAAUCA
rnacentral:misc_RNA from 1 species